GUGAUUCUCCUGCCUCAGCCUCCUGAGUAGCUGGGAUUACAGGUAAUGAAUUUCCCCAGUCCAACUUAUUGAAUAAUCAUUGUCCUGAAGUAGUUAAUGGAUUUGAGUUACAGCUCGGCAAAUUCCACAAAGAAAAUAAAACAGCACAAGGUCCCCACAGAGCGACGGGAGGCAGGAAAGGGGAAGUCCAUGCCACCAGAGGAAUAGUUUCAUUGAACGCUUGAUCUUUGAGCCGAACUCAGAAGGAGCCACCCCUGUAAAGGUCUAUAGGCUGAUUAAACUUGAUGGGUUCUGGAGAUGCCGAGGAAGAGAGGCAGCAUCACCUACUUGCCUGGACUCUAGAUGGGCAGCUGAUCAUCUUGGACAGACUGCUGGAUGCUGUACCCAGGGUGGUCACUCCCAGACACCAUAGAAAAUGCAAUCCUGGAUGGAAGACCAAGCAAAUAAAAUGAGCUGUUUUCUCAUGAGCCAGUGUGAAAGACUCAGGUCGAACCAACCGUAAGGAGUCAUGGACAUCUUGUGUGUCUCUUCUCAGACUGUUUUCCAAUGGGGAAAAGGGUGGAGGGUGCUCAGUCUCAAACUAGCCUUGAAAGAAGAUGAAAAGACGUGACCAAAGGUGACAAGAAGAACAAGAAAAGGUUGGUGAAAGAACCAUAAAACUUCCCUAACAUGAAGACAUUAAGAUGCUGCAUGCAGAAGAGGUGGGGCUUGUAAAAGGUGAGAGUAAAGACAAAUAUAUAAAUGAAGAUAUUUGGAGGCGAUGGUCAAGGCCAGAACUUCUCUGCCUAGAUAAGGAGGACAUCUCACCCCUCAGGCUGAGGUUGUUGCUGAGAGACAGAGUGGAAUGGUAUUUCCAUUUUUCUAACUCUCAGAAUCCAGCCCUCCAAUCCAGCCCACAAAUAAUCUUGCCUAAUUUUUUCAUGCGAAUAGAAAUCUUGCAUUUUUUGUGAACCUUGAAAUACAUUUGGUUCUCAAGUUCGGGGGAUCAUGUUAUAUUUUGAAAUAAAAAUUGUCGUAAUUGGAUUAGGCUCAAUUGCAGUUGUAGUAAGACUGGCUUUGGGUAUGGAAUAUAAAUGAGGUCAGCUUAAAGGAAGUAAUUCAUUCCUCUAAUGACAACAUCUUGGUCUAUGAAAUGAAAAAAGAUCAAAGCUCAUUCAAAAAUAAAUGGAUUUAAUGGAACAGUAGUUAAAGAAGUCUGGAGAAUUCAUUUUAUUUUCAUUGUAUAAUAUCUGUUUCUCAUAGAGUUGUCUUGUUCUUUAGUACUUUUUAUUCUUAUGACUGUGCAUGGGUUUGAUUAGCUUAAUUAGAGUUAAUGUCUUGGGAGCAGAAUGUGGGACUGUGAAAGUUUGGGUUCCUGAAGACUUUGAAAAGAGAACUGUUGGCCUCGUUCUACAUAAAUUCAGAAUCGAAAAUGUCUGAUGGUUAUUAUCAUCUUAAAGUAAUUGAAGCACUGCUAAAAAUAAAAACCAGAAGGAGAAAAAUUGAACCCGAAUAAAAGAAAUGGAGUUAUCCCAGAUUUGGAUACAAUUCUCUCGGCAAAUUGAGCUUAAAUCUGAAGUCUUAGGAAAUAGAAUGAAUGCCAAAAAAUUAUUUUUCCCCCUGUGUGCUGUUAACAAGGGCAGUCUCUUCGUUUUCACAGUAUUUCCUUCUAUUUUCCUCCUGUUGUCUGUGGCUCCACUUUAGGUUAGUAGGGACUUUAGAGGGAAAUACCACUUCAGAUUAAAGUCUUGUCAGAUCUCAUUUAUUAACUGGCAUGGGGUCUGGUGUCCUGGAGCGAGAAGGUCUCCUGAGGAAGCAUUUGUUGUGAGCCUCUCUUGCAGGGACUGAGUUUGGAGCAGGACUUUCCAGGAGCCGUCCUGUGUUAGGAGGAGACGAAGUUCCACAAAACUAGGACCCAAGAGAGGAUUAAGUAUUUUGAUCCUAAAAAGAAAAGGGUUGAGGGAUGAGGUGGGGAGGGAGAUGUUCCAAAAUGUUUUACUUUGAGCUGGGCAUGGUGGCGGGUGUCUGUAAUCUCAGCUACUUGGGAGACUGAGGCAGGAGAAUCACUUAAACCCGGGAGGUGGAGGUUGCAGUGAGCCAACAUCACGCCACUGCACUCCAGCUGGGUGACAAGAGUGAAACUCCAUCUCAAAUAAAUAAAUAAAUUAAUUAAAAUGUUUUACUUUGAUAACCUGGCCUUUGCAUUCUUUGCAUUAUGUGAAAUAAGCUUUAAUCAAUGGUAAUAUAUGAAAUAACAUUGCUUCGGUCAUUCAAUAAAUAUUUAUAAGUUAAAAAAAUA